rnacentral:lncRNA from 13 species
AAUUUGACUUAUUGGUCAUCGUGCCUUAUGUAGAUAUCGAGAAUCUUGUAGCAAAUACUGAACAUCAUAAAUACACUGCUAUGUCUUUACAGAUUCAAUGGUUCUAGUGUAUUACAUAGUUUUGAUCAAGCGGAUCGUGCGAAGUUCUUACAAUUCGUUACGUCCAAAGUGUCGUUACAAGAUUUUGCUGUGUUAGAAGGCAUGAAUUGCAUAUAAAAGUUCCAAAUUCACAGAAAAAUAGGUCAACAGACAAACUUCCAUCUGCACAUACUCGAUAAGUAUCUGAAGAAAGAAAUUUUUGUAAUACUUUCUCAUAUGCGUGUAUAAGCUGAAAUUAAAUCGAUAUAAAAGUGGGCUAAAACUGUAUUCUCUAAUUGCAGUUUCAAUCAAUUGGAUCUGCCAGUGUACGAGACGUAUGAUAAACUUUAUACAAAUCUACUUAUGAAUGCAGCGAAAGAUUUGGAUUUGCAUAAGCUUGUUGGAACGCUAUUGUCAUAUAAUAUGUAGCAUUAAUAAUAAGUAUGAGUAUAAUAAUAACUUAUUCCACAAAUAA